rnacentral:rRNA from 1 species
ACGUACACUCCUGCGGGAGGCAGCAGUGGGGAAUAUUGGACAAUGGGCGCAAGCCUGAUCCAGCCAUGCCGCGUGAGUGAUGAAGGCCCUAGGGUUGUAAAGCUCUUUCACCGGUGAAGAUAAUGACGGUAACCGGAGAAGAAGCCCCGGCUAACUUCGUGCCAGCAGCCGCGGUAAUACGAAGGGGGCUAGCGUUGUUCGGAUUUACUGGGCGUAAAGCGCACGUAGGCGGACUAUUAAGUCAGGGGUGAAAUCCCGGGGCUCAACCCCGGAACUGCCUUUGAUACUGGUAGUCUUGAGUUCGAGAGAGGUGAGUGGAAUUCCGAGUGUAGAGGUGAAAUUCGUGGAUAUUCGGAGGAACACCAGUGGCGAAGGCGGCUCACUGGCUCGAUACUGACGCUGAGGUGCGAAAGCGUGGGGAGCAAACAGGAUUAGAUACCCCAGUAGUCCCAU